rnacentral:rRNA from 1 species
UACGUAGGGGGCAAGCGUUAUCCGGAUUUACUGGGUGUAAAGGGGGCGCAGACGGCGAUGCAAGCCAGGAGUGAAAGCCCGGGGCCCAACCCCGGGACUGCUCUUGGAACUGCGUGGCUGGAGUGCAGGAGGGGCAGGCGGAAUUCCUGGUGUAGCGGUGAAAUGCGUAGAUAUCAGGAGGAACACCGGUGGCGAAGGCGGCCUGCUGGACUGCAACUGACGUUGAGGCCUGAAAGCGUGGGGAGCAAACAGG